CUUCUUUUUUUCUUCCUUUUUUUGGAAGUAAAAAUGAAAACAAAACAAGGCCGAAAGAAUAACUCUUUUCGUAUCUUUUGCGUCGAACAAAUAUGUAGAUACU
rnacentral:ribozyme from 14 species